UUGAACCUUGAAAGAUCCUGCCAAAGAAAUCCUGACGUCUCCAUCAUAAUCCUUAAAGAAUGAAUCCGAACCGGAUAACUCAAAUACAAUUCUUAAUCAAGAAUCUUCACUGGCCCUUCAUUGUCUCAUCAAAGUGCCGUUUCCCAUCCAAGUAGAGCAUAGACUCUAAGGGGAACAAAAAGGUUUAGGUCAGCUGCUACCUGUGAAGAGAGCAACAGCAGGGAGCCAAUCUCUACCGGCUUCUGGAACAUGAUGUCAUCCAC